GCCGGGGUAGCCUAGCCAGGUAAGGCGCAGGUUUGGAGAACCUGUGGUCCUUUGGGCCUCAGGGGUUCGAAUCCCCUCCCCGGCGCCA
rnacentral:tRNA from 1 species